CCUACGGGAGGCAGCAGUGGGGAAUAUUGCGCAAUGGGCGAAAGCCUGACGCAGCGACGCCGCGUGAGGGAUGAAGGUCUUCGGAUCGUAAACCUCUGUCAGCAGGGAAGAACGGUCACUGUGCUAAUCAGCAGUGAAUUGACGGUACCUGCAAAGGAAGCACCGGCUAACUCCGUGCCAGCAGCCGCGGUAAUAAGGAGGGUGCGAGCGUUAAUCGGGAUUACUGGGCGUAAAGCGCUCGUAGGCGGUAUGUCAAGUCAAGGGGGAAAUCCCCGCGCUCAACGUGGGAACUGCCUUUGAAACUGGCAAACUGGAGUGUGUGAGAGGAUAGUGGAAUUACAGGUGUAGGAGUGAAAUCCGUAGAUAUCUGGAGGAACAUCAGUGGCGAAGGCGACUAUCUGGCACAUAACUGACGCUGAGGAGCGAAAGCGUGGGUAGCAAACAGGAUUAGAUACCCUUGUAGUC
rnacentral:rRNA from 1 species